AGUGAACGCUGGCGGUAGGCCUAACACAUGCAAGUCGAACGGCAGCACAGUAAGAGCUUGCUCUUACGGGUGGCGAGUGGCGGACGGGUGAGGAAUACAUCGGAAUCUACUUUUUCGUGGGGGAUAACGUAGGGAAACUUACGCUAAUACCGCAUACUACCUACGGGUGAAAGCAGGGGAUCUUCGGACCUUGCGCGAUUGAAUGAGCCGAUGUCGGAUUAGCUAGUUGGCGGGGUAAAGGCCCACCAAGGCGACGAUCCGUAGCUGGUCUGAUAGGAUGAUCAGCCACCCUGGAACUGAGACACGGUCCAGACUCCUACGGGAGGCAGCAGUGGGGAAUAUUGGACAAUGGGCGCAAGCCUGAUCCAGCCAUACCGCGUGGGUGAAGAAGGCCUUCGGGUUGUAAAGCCCUUUUGUUGGGAAAGAAAAGCAGCAGGUUAAUACCCCGCUGUUCUGACGGUACCCAAAGAAUAAGCACCGGCUAACUUCGUG
rnacentral:rRNA from 1 species